UACGGAGGGUGCGAGCGUUAAUCGGAUUUACUGGGCGUAAAGGGUGCGUAGGCGGUUAUAUAAGUUAAGUGUGAAAGUCCUGGGCUUAACCUGGGGAAGUCACUUAAGACUGUAUGACUGGAGUAUGGGAGAGGGUAGUGGAAUUUCCGGUGUAGCGGUGAAAUGCGUAGAGAUCGGAAGGAACACCAGUGGCGAAGGCGGCUACCUGGCCCAAUACUGACGCUGAGGCACGAAAGCGUGGGGAGCAAACAGG
rnacentral:rRNA from 1 species